rnacentral:lncRNA from 1 species
GAGAUUCAAGUUUCGCCUAACAAGAGGAGUAAACUACCCACUACCCCAAGACCCCAAUCACCGUGCAACUUAAUAGUACUAUUGGCAGUAAUGUCCACAUGAAGAACAAAGCAUCUCUACCGCUAAGACUGCAGAAAGCUUCUUUGACCAAUUCAAAUACAGGUGCAAUUAAUAAGCGUUCUUUGCAACUCGUAAAGUCAGGAAAUAAUUCUCAAGAAAAAUUCCAUAUUGUACGAAAGAAAGAUUUUCAAUUCUCAACUAAACAGCGUAGUGUGAUUGCCAAGCAGUUAACAAAAUAUUUGAAGAUGGAUGAAGAAGAAAAACAGGGUGUCGAAAAAGCUAGUGAGGACUUCGUUGUCAUCGUUGAUCCGAGUGAUGUAGUCAAUACUGAAGGGUGUGAGGAAGUUGCUACCCCAGUGAAACUAAAGCGGAAAAUCAAAAUUUUAAGGCCAAGUAUUCCCAAAGUUCAAUUUACGAAGGUGAAAAAGCCUAAAAUGUGUGAAAAGUGUGGCAAAGCAUUUAGAACUGAAUCGCUUCUUAGUAAGUAUAUCUAGACAGUACUGAUUUCUCUUUCAUUCCUCAGUCACUCCUGAAGCCUCAAAAAGACUACAAAAGUCCAAUUUCUCCAAGGUUUUUGAUGCAUUGAAAAGUCUAUGAAUCUAAAAAAAUUUUAAGUUUUUAAGGUCUUUAAUAUCUUUUAAUCUUACAUCAACCGACAAUGAAUUGACAAAAGUUAUAAUGUUUGUACUUUUUCCUCUGUUGUGCAUAUGUCUUAAAAGUCAAAUACCUUAUCCACAUAUUAGUUAUUUUCUGUUUUUACUUGUAUGAAUCAAUAACUUUGUAUUGGAGCAAUCUUAAUUUUUAAAAUUUUUCAGGAACGCAUAAAAAAAUUUCGAAAAAAGGAAUGAUGUUAUCUCCAUUGUUUCUGUUUCAUUUAUUCACGGUUAAACGCAUUUUAUUAUGCACAUUAAAUGCGUGUCAAUAUCUUUCAUAGGAGUUAAUUUUCGAAUUUCCAGUUGUGUUAAUCGCUUUCUGAGAAAAUUUUCAGAGAGGGAACAUGUAUGUAGUGCUUUCAUUCACACCUUGUCUAGUUGCCCAUUUUGGAAAGAAAAAAUUAUGUAACAUCUAA